rnacentral:misc_RNA from 1 species
GAUGAAGAACGAAGCGAAAUGCGAUAAGUAGUGUGAAUUGCAGAAUUCAGUGAAUCAUCGAAUCUUUGAACGCACAUUGCGCCCUUUGGUAUUCCUUAGGGCAUGCCUGUUCGAGCGUCAUUUAAACCUUCAAGCUAAGCUUGGUGUUGGGUGACUGUCCGCCUCACGGCGGACUCGCCUCAAAAUUAUUGGCGGCCGGUACAUUGGCUUCGAGCGCAGCAGAAACGCGAACUCGGGCCCGUCGUAUUGGCUCCCAGAAGCUAUCUUCACAAUUUUGACCUCGGAUCAGGUAGGGAUACCCGCUGAACUUAAGCAUAUCAAUAAGCGGAGGA